rnacentral:rRNA from 1 species
ACUGAAUAGAUACCCUGGUAGUCCACGCUGUAAACGAUGGAUACUAGGUGUAGCAGGUAUCGACCCCUGCUGUGCCGCAGCUAACGCAAUAAGUAUCCCGCCUGGGGAGUAUGGCCGCAAGGUUGAAACUCAAAGGAAUUGACGGGGCCCGCACAAGCGGUGGAGGAUGUGGUUUAAUUCGACGCAACGCGAAGAACCUUACCAAGGCUUGACAUCCACUGAAUCUUGUAGAAAUACAGGAGUGCCCGAAAGGGAGCAGUGAGACAGGUGGUGCAUGGCUGUCGUCAGCUCGUGUCGUGAGAUGUUGGGUUAAGUCCCGCAACGAGCGCAACCCUCGACGUUAGUUACCAUCAUUCAGUUGGGGACUCUAACGUGACUGCCGGUGAUAAGCCGGAGGAAGGUGAGGACGACGUCAAGUCAUCAUGCCCCUUACGUCUUGGGCUACACACGUCCUACAAUGGCAUAGACAAAGGGCUGCAAGACCGCGAGGUUGAGCGAAUCUCAU